UACGUAGGGUGCGAGCGUUGUCCGGAAUUAUUGGGCGUAAAGAGCUCGUAGGCGGUUUGUCACGUCUGCUGUGAAAUCCCGAGGCUCAACCUCGGGCCUGCAGUGGGUACGGGCAGACUGGAGUGCGGUAGGGGAGAAUGGAAUUCCUGGUGUAGCGGUGGAAUGCGCAGAUAUCAGGAGGAACACCGAUGGCGAAGGCAGUUCUCUGGGCUAUAACUGACGCUCAUGCACGAAAGCGUGGGGAGCAAACAGG
rnacentral:rRNA from 1 species